CAAAGAUUUAUCGGCAAAGGAUGGGCCUGCGUCUGAUUAGCUAGUUGGUAAGGUAACGGCUUACCAAGGCGACGAUCAGUAGCCGACCUGAGAGGGUGAACGGCCACAUUGGAACUGAGACACGGUCCAAACUCCUACGGGAGGCAGCAGUGGGGAAUAUUGCACAAUGGGCGAAAGCCUGAUGCAGCAACGCCGCGUGAAGGAAGAAGGCCUUCGGGUCGUAAACUUCUGUCCUUGGGGAAGAAGAACUGACGGUACCCAAGGAGGAAGCCCCGGCUAACUACGUGCCAGCAGCCGCGGUAAUACGUAGGGGGCAAGCGUUAUCCGGAAUUAUUGGGCGUAAAGAGUACGUAGGUGGCAACCUAAGCGCAGGGUUUAAGGCAAUGGCUCAACCAUUGUUCGCCCUGCGAACUGGGAUGCUUGAGUGCAGGAGAGGAAAGCGGAAUUCCUAGUGUAGCGGUGAAAUGCGUAGAUAUUAGGAGGAACACCAGUGGCGAAGGCGGCUUUCUGGACUGUAACUGACACUGAGGUACGAAAGCGUGGGGAGCAAACAGGAUUAGAUACCCUGGUAGUCCACGCCGUAAACGAUGAGCACUAGGUGUCGGGGUCGCAAGACUU
rnacentral:rRNA from 1 species